AUGCCUCCUACUGAUACUUUAGAACAAUAUUUGCUAGACCAUGAGAAUGAUAUGCACUUACAUGAAAGAAAUGAAAUAGAUAAAAUAUUCUUUGAACAACAACCUAUCCUUAGACACAAUUUGCCUAUUGAAACUCUAGGAGGUCGUCCUCCACCUAAAGGUGAUCUUGUGUUUCAAUUAAAACAAUUGUCUAACACUUUGAAAUAUGCUUAUCUUAAUGAGAAAAAGAUAUAUCAUGUUAUUAUUAGUGCUAACAUUUCAGAACAUGAAGAAGAAAGAUUAUUGAAAAUUCCGAAGAAGCACUGUGCUGCUAUUGGAUAUACUCUUGAUGAUCUUAAGGGCAUUAGUCCCACUCUCUGUCAGCACAAGAUUAAUAUGGAA
rnacentral:rRNA from 1 species